ensembl:lncRNA
GCCAGAAUAUGGGGAAGAGAUCAGUCCAGGACCAUUGACGUCACCUCACUUGGCCAGCAGAGAUGGACGUUCGCCUCACGGUGCUGGUGCUCUAGCAAGGAGAAGCCCACCAUCAUCGCACAGGGCCAGUGGAGGCGGACCAUCCCUUAACUGGGCCAGUGGAGUCUCACCUCCCUCCCACGGGGCCAGUAGAGUCUCACCUCCCUCCCACGGGGCAGUGGAGUCUCACCUCCCUCCCACGGGGCCAGUAGAGUCUCACCUCCCUCCCACGGGGCCAGUGGAGUCUCACCACCCUCCCACGGGGCCAGUAGAGUCUCGCCACCCUCCCACGGGGCCAGUAGAGUCUCACCUCCCUCCCACUGGGCCAGUGGAGUCUCACCUCCCUCCCACGGGGCCAGUAGAGUCUCCCUCCCUCCCACGGGGCCAGUGGAGUCUCACCUCCCUCCCACGGGGCCAGUAGAG